GGUGUACCAACUCCGUACACCACUGAUUUGACUUCCUUGCCUUCAUGACCAGUUAGCGCAAGAUGGGCGGCGAGCAGAGUCGGGACGCGGGCGGCGGCGUGGGCGUGGGCGCAGGAGGCGUCGAGGGCGUGGAUAGGCGCGGGUCGGAUCCCAGUAGGCCUACAUCCACCUCUCCCCGGCCUUCGAUUUGCUCCGAUUCUGAUCUUCCUUAUAUCCCUUAUACGGUCAAUAGGCCUAUAGGAGACUCCCCGAAGCACACGAACCGGGGCGUGCGGGGCCUGAGAGCG